rnacentral:lncRNA from 1 species
ACAACCUUUUUCCAAACAGAGGACAUCGCUCUCACACCUGAUAUCCUCCUCUCCGACUCAGUACAGUGACAGCCAUGGCCUCUGUGACCUUUGCGAAGUUUAACGCCUCGUCUUCGCAGUGGAUCGGACAACAGUCCUUCUCUCAACGCCAGGGAUCGUCCGCUCGCUUCCCGGCACGCAGAGUCUCGGUCCCGAUCCGUGCCGGGUCGUACUCCGAGGAACUCGUUCAGACUGCUGUGAGUUUUCGUUUGUUUUGAGGAAAACUGAGGGAAAGGGAGGGAGAAUUCUUUGAAUCUCAUGUUUUACGGUUGUUUGAUUUUUGAAGGAUCAAGUCAAAUCAGCUGAAUCGUGUUCAUUUGAGUUAGAUUUAUUUGUAUAUAUUUUCCUUUUGAAAGUCUAAGAUUCGAAGUAGUAGUUUAUUUUAUUUUUAUUUAAUUUUGCAGUAAUCAAACAUAGCACAAUUCAAUCUGUUCUUGGUUGCAUGUUUUGAUUCCAGAUCGUUGGGUUGUGUUUCUGGUUGAUCUCCGAGUGCUUAUGUUUUUCUGUUUGUUAUUCAUGUUGUUGAAUUCCAUAUUUUUAUGUGUACAUAUUGAUUUAUCGGAUCUCAAUUUAGGAAUAUGAUAUGUGGCUUUGGUUGGGUAAUUUGAUUAAGUUGUAUUGAGUCUGUGUUAUUUUUUUUUUGUUUGAUUCAAGGAUUACUAUACCGAUCGAUUUGAAAGUAUGGCUGCUCAAUUGAAUUGUACGGUUGUUUUUUAGAAAAAAAAUAAUUUUUAUUUUGUCUUUUCAGUUAUCAACACAUCAUAUUUGUGUGUUUCUGUGAUGACCGGAGGUUAAAGUUUUUCCCACUUUGGGUUUGUUUGUUUGGCUGGAAAUUCUCAUAUGAAACAAAUUUCAUGUUUUAAGAGCUGACUUUAUGUGACAGAAACUAAGGAUUGUUUUAUAAGAAAUCUCUCUCUUUUUUUUUUUUGAAUCAUGUCAUGUUCUGUUUCAAUGUGGGUGAUGAUCAUUCUUGACAUGUAUAACUACAAAUUUUACUGUUUGACGUCCCACCUUUUUGUAUCUGUUUCAUUGUAGGCUUGGCUUUUCCCGUCCAGCUUAUUUCCCUUUCUCAUGAUUUAAGAGUUAUAAUUUUGUGGCAAAGGAAAUUCCUCUGCACUUAAUGGAUGUGACUUGUUCUGUUUUAAACUCGAUACCCUUGUAUUUAUCUUUUCUGCUCAUUGACCUCAACAGAGAAGGUUUUGUUCAAAAUGGAUGCUAAAGGGCUUUGGGCAGACACCCUGAUUGCUCCUAACAAAGAGUUUGCAAGUUCAAUUUUAGAAUUCUUGCAACAAAAAAGAAAAAAAAAAGAAAAAAAAAAGAAAUAAUAAUAAUUGUAGUGGUAGCAGUAAAUAUUAAUAAUAAUGAUAAUUUGUUUGAGAAUAAGUAGUAUUUAGUUCAGUUUUUGAAGAUGUUCUUUUUGAGAAAUUUGUUUGCUUCGGUAAAGAAGUGUGUAGAGAUUGAUUCUUUGUCUUUAUUUGAUUUUAUUGAGUGGUUGGGUUCUGGUUAAGGAAGAGAGUUGUUAUUGGGUUUCUAUUCUAGUUUCUGUGCUUAAGGCGCUUUUUGUGUACGUCUUGUGUACUUUAGAGUGGUGUUUUUAUUUUUUAAUGCAUUUGGUUUUAUUUAUCAAAAAAAAUUAAUAAUGAUGAUAAUAGGUUUUUAUUGUGCUUAAUUGUUCAUGGUCUCUGUUUUGAUUCUGUAGAAAACUGUUGCAUCACCUGGCCGUGGUAUACUAGCCAUUGAUGAGUCAAAUGCUACCUGCGGGAAGAGGUUGGCAUCUAUUGGUCUGGACAAUACAGAACCCAACCGUCAGGCCUAUAGACAACUUCUACUGACCACUCCUGGCCUUGGUGAAUAUAUUUCUGGGGCCAUCCUUUUUGAGGA